rnacentral:rRNA from 1 species
AUACAUGCAAGUGAACGAUGAUUCUGGUACUUGUAUCAGAAUGAAGAGUAGCGAACGGGUGAGUAACGCGUGGGUAACCUACCUCUUAGCGGGGGACAACUAUUGGAAACGAUAGCUAAUACCGCAUAACAAUAUUAAACACAUGUUUAACAUUUGAAAGUACCAAUUGGUACACUAGGAGAUGGACCCGCGUUGUAUUAGCUAGUUGGUAGUGUAAUGGACUACCAAGGCGAUGAUACAUAGCCGACCUGAGAGGGUGAUCGGCCACAUUGGGACUGAGACACGGCCCAAACUCCUACGGGAGGCAGCAGUAGGGAAUCUUCGGCAAUGGACGAAAGUCUGACCGAGCAACGCCGCGUGAGUGAAGAAGGUUUUCGGAUCGUAAAACUCUGUUGUUAGAGAAGAACGUUGUGUAGAGUGGAAAAUUACACAUGUGACGGUAUCUAACCAGAAAGGGACGGCUAACUACGUGCCAGCAGCCGCGGUAAUACGUAGGUCCCGAGCGUUGUCCGGAUUUAUUGGGCGUAAAGUGAGCGCAGGUGGUUUAAUAAGUCUGAUGUAAAAGGCAGUGGCUCAACCAUUGUGUGCAUUGGAAACUGUUAGACUUGAGUGCAGUAGAGGAGAGUGGAAUUCCAUGUGUAGCGGUGAGAUGCGUAGAUAUAUGGAGGAACACCGGUGGCGAAAGCGGCUCUCUGGACUGUAACUGACACUGAGGCUCGAAAGCGUGGGUAGCAGACAGGAUUAGAUACACUGGUAGUCCACGCCGUAAACGAUGAGUGCUAGUUGUUUGGGGCUAUCCAGCCCUAAGUGACGCAGCAAACGCAUUAAGCACUCCGCCUGGGGAGUACGACCGCAAGGUUGAAACUCAAAGGAAUUGACGG